rnacentral:siRNA from 1 species
UCCACGAUGACGAUAACAGCGAG